rnacentral:rRNA from 1 species
GGGGGGGGCAAGCGUUGUUCGGAAUUACUGGGCGUAAAGGGCGCGCAGGCGGCCUGACAAGUCCCUCGUGAAAUCCCACAGCUCAACUGUGGAACUGCGGGGGAUACUGCCGGGCUUGAGUCCCGGGAGAGGAGAGUGGAAUUCCCAGUGUAGCGGUGAAAUGCGUAGAUAUUGGGAGGAACACCGGUGGCGAAGGCGGCUCUCUGGACCGGUACUGACGCUGAGGCGCGAAAGCUAGGGGAGCAAACGGGAUUAGAUACCCCGGUAGUCCUAGCUGUAAACGUUGAGCACUUGGUGUGGCGGGUAUCGACCCCUGCCGUGCCGAAGCUAACGCAUUAAGUGCUCCGCCUGGGGAGUACGGUCGCAAAGGCUGA